UCUGUUAGAGCAAUCGAAGCAGUGAACUUAAACCCCAGUAAACGGCGGCCGUAACUAUAACGGUCCUAAGGUAGCGAAAUUCCUUGUCGGGUAAGUACCGACCCGCACGAAAGGCGUAACGAUUUGAGCACUGUCUCAACAACAGACUCGGUGAAAUUGUAAUUCCGGUGAAGAUGCCGGAUACCUGCGACAGGACGGAAAGACCCCAUGGAGCUUUACUGUAGCUUGACAUUGGGU
rnacentral:rRNA from 1 species